rnacentral:lncRNA from 1 species
CAUAUGAGUAUCUGGACCAUACGCGUAUGGUCAUGACCAUAUGGGUAUAUACUCAUAUGGUCCGACCAUACGCGUAUGGUCGGACCGUACGCGUAUGGUCGGUGUAAUCAACACGUAUACUUUUAAACUCUUCAUUAGGUGUGAUCCUUCGAUCUGGUUGUUACGUCACUAAAAUAUCAUUUUAUUAUAUAUUAAAAAAGUUUAUAAAAAAAAAAUCAGUUUCACACAGUUAAUAUUACUUACUAUUUGUAAGUACAAUUAUAAGAAGAUGUCAAAAUCAAAUGAACAUAUUGUAAAAGUAGGUGACAUCACCGGCAAGGAUC